AGCAGGGAGCUGUGCUGCCAGGGCCCUGACAGGCUCUAUGUUCCCAGGGAUGGCCCGGAUGUUCAUGAACAAGGGCGCACAAGGAAGAGCUGCAGACCCUCAGUGAGGCCACUGAAGCCCCGACAAAGACACCACUCCAUCCCACAGGAAUCUGAAUAUGCAAGCUUAGUUUGCCAGUGAACAAGUGUCCCAAGAACAGCAGCAGGAGACACUGAAGAGGACACCACCUCCCAGUGCCACUGGAGAUCCAGGCACAGCUGACAACUGGCACAGCUGAGCCUGUGGGAUUUUCACGGGGCUUCAGCCCUCUCCCAGCCUGUAGAUAGCUCCCUCCAGCCCUCAGACUGUGCCCAUCCCCUUUUUUCCCUCUAUUCUUCCUCCCUUUUGACAGCUCCUUACCUCCAGCCCUCAGUCCAUGCCCAUCCCCUUCUUUCCCUUUCCAGCUCAUCCCUUUGCUUCACCUUGCAUUAAUAAACAGUUUGCCUUUUUCACUUAA